UCCUCAUCUCCGGUGUCGUCAUCAUUUUCGGUUUCUCCCUCAGAUCUGUCGUUUUGCCGCCGUCUCAAUUGUCGUCAAAGAGCUCUGCAAGUGCCAGCGACGACAGAGCUCCGGUUACACGGGGUCAAAGACAUCAUCCCAAUUGCGUCUGGCAAAGGCGGAGUUGGAAAGUCUUCCACUGCUGAUUUGGGAAGGUCUUGGAAGGAGAAAUGGAGAUGUGUCUGAAGAUUGCGCAAGAGACAGGUGUUUUAGUGGAUCCAAUGUAUAUUUUAGCUGCUUGGGAGAGAGCAACAGAGCUUGUGCAGGAGGACGAUAAUUCGAGCAUUGUAGUGAUGCUUCACACUGGAGGCACUCUUGGGAUAUUUGGUCUUGCUCAAAGAUACAAAUCUCUUUUCGCCAACUUGAAUGAUUAGGCUUUUUUUUUGUAGCAUACCAUUUCCAAGACUUGAAUAGACAUCAAUCUAAAGGUUCAGUUAAGCUUUAGCUUAGUAAUCAUUAAGUUUUACGUGUUAUGCUGUAUUUGACUUUUUGCUUUUUCGAUUUUGGAAGACUUUAUUCAAAUUUAGGAUAGCUAUCCUGAACAAGAAUUGUUUUAAGAUUGUCUUGAUAAUUAUUUUCUGGAAGGCUUUCC